UUGGAAUUCAAAAUAUAAAUGCUUAGCAUGAGGUAAUCCUUUAUCUUUCCACAUUUUACCAGUUUGUAAGUUUGAGUAUGUAACUGAUAAAAUGUAAUUCAAAAGCAAGAAGAAUGUUGUGUUUCAGUCCUAGAGCAGGGGUCAGUGAACUUUCUGUAAAGGGCCAGAUAGUAUUAUUUAAGGCUUUGUGAACCAUAAGAUCCUUGUUGCAAUAACUCAGCCCUGUAGUUAUAGCACAAAAGUAGCCAUUAACGAUAUGCAGAUUGAAGGGGUGUAGCAGUGUCCCACUAAAAUUAAUUACAAAAAACAGGUAAUGGGAUGAUUUCUCCUACAUUAUGACCUUUUUUAAAUAAAAAAGAUUGUGAUAGUCUAAAAUAUUUUAUAUAUAUUUUGUUGAUUCAUUCAUCUACUGAUGGACAUUUAGGUCAUUUCUAAAUGUAAUUUUUUUUAAUUCUUUGUUUUAGCUUCAAGAAACACAGGAUCAACUUACAGCUACUAUAAGAUGUACUAAGGGGAUGGAAGGCGACGCACAAAAGCUUGAAGUAGAAAAUGCCAUGAUGAGAAAAACUAUUAAAAAACAGGAUGACCAAAUUGAGCGACUUGAGAAAAUCCUGCAGCGUUCAAGUUUGAUGCCACAGGUGUUCAAGAGCUAGAUGAAGGU
rnacentral:lncRNA from 10 species